GAGUUUGAUCCUGGCUCAGAUUGAACGCUGGCGGCAUGCCUUACACAUGCAAGUCGAACGGCAGCACGGGAGCUUGCUCCUGGUGGCGAGUGGCGAACGGGUGAGUAAUGCAUCGGAACGUAUCCUGGAGUGGGGGAUAACGUAGCGAAAGUUACGCUAAUACCGCAUAUUCUGUGAGCAGGAAAGCGGGGGACCUUCGGGCCUCGCGCUCUUGGAGCGGCCGAUGUCGGAUUAGCUAGUUGGUGAGGUAAAGGCUCACCAAGGCGACGAUCCGUAGCAGGUCUGAGAGGAUGAUCUGCCACACUGGAACUGAGACACGGUCCAGACUCCUACGGGAGGCAGCAGUGGGGAGUUUUGGACAAUGGGGGCAACCCUGAUCCAGCCAUGCCGCGUGAGUGAAGAAGGCCUUCGGUUGUAAGGUACUC
rnacentral:rRNA from 1 species